rnacentral:rRNA from 1 species
AGUGAACGCUGGCGGUAGGCCUAACACAUGCAAGUCGAACGGCAGCACAGUAAGAGCUUGCUCUUACGGGUGGCGAGUGGCGGACGGGUGAGGAAUACAUCGGAAUCUACUUUUUCGUGGGGGGUAACGUAGGGAAACUUACGCUAAUACCGCAUACGACCUACGGGUGAAAGCAGGGGAUCUUCGGACCUUGCGCGAUUGAAUGAGCCGAUGUCGGAUUAGCUAGUUGGCGUGGUAAAGGCCCACCAAGGCGACGAUCCGUAGCUGGUCUGAGAGGAUGAUCAGCCACACUGGAACUGAGACACGGUCCAGACUCCUACGGGAGGCAGCAGUGGGGAAUAUUGGACAAUGGGCGCAAGCCUGAUCCAGCCAUACCGCGUGGGUGAAGAAGGCCUUCGGGUUGUAAAGCCCUUUUGUUGGGAAAGAAAAGCAGCAGGUUAAUACCCCGCUGUUCUGACGGUACCCAAAGAAUAAGCACCGGCUAACUUCGU